AUCAGGAUGGCUGAGUGGUUUAAGGUGCUAGACUCAAGGUUUCAUAUCCUUCCAUUGUUUGGGUGUUCUGGUCUCUAAAUAGAGGCCUGGGUUCAAACCCCAUUCCUGACA
rnacentral:tRNA from 1 species